UGUGAAGUACCUGUUAGACAGAGGCGUCCUCUCCACACAUCUGAUCUGGAUGGUGCUGAGCUCUUGUACGCUGCCUGGACGGCUGCCGGUGAUGGUGGUGUUUGGGAUGCGAGUAGAAGAGAUCUUAUCCUAAUGACUUCAAAGUGGCAGAAAAGAGAAAAAUAUGCCUUUGCUUAGUAUCAUCUGGACUGAUGCUUAUACCAAAUGAUAUUUCAAAGGAUGCCAAGAGGCUGAGAAGGUACCUCACCCUUGCUGUUAUACCAUGAAUCAGCAACUUGCCAGAUUCUACAAGAAAGACAUUCACAGUGAUCUCUGUUAAAUAUAACAGAAGCAUUACUUGGGGAAUGCUGGAUGCCGGGGGAUCCUCUUUUACGGUCCCUUCAGUAAGAAUCAUACUCGUAUCAGAGGAAAUACUCAGCAGCUUUCCCUGUACAAAAGCCCAACAUUUGCUCAGGCAAAAACUUGCUUUGACUGCACUGAGUAUUGGAUGUGUAAGGACUACAAUUUGUAUGUUAAAAAUUUGUAUGUUUUCAUAGAGUGCAUGAAAACCAUAAUGAAGGUCACAUAUAUGGCUUGGGUAUACUGCUGUCAUCUCACUGAUGCCAGUCUCUUUCACGCUAGAUGAGGCUGUCAUCCAGGAUAUCUCUGUUAUUUGUAUGCAGUGGGUAUAAUGCAUUAAAAUAAGAUAAACUGGCUUUUCUUCCCAGCUAACUGCUUUCAUAUAAGGGCUUAUUAAUUAGAAGAGAUAACUGAAAACAUUCAAAACUAGGCUGGUGUUGGG